UUUAGUUUUUGCAAUUAGCUAAGUUUUUUCAAUUGUUUGUUCUUGGGUGUCACUGAUAUUGGGUUGGCCAGGAUUGCUGUUGGUUGCAGCAGAUUAGAGUGCCUCAACUUGAAGUGGUGCUUUGAGAUUUCUGAUCUUGGCGUUGACCUUCUUUGCAAGAAGUGCUUCUAUUUGAAAGUUCUCGAUGUCUCGUAUCUCAAGUUAUCUCAGUUCCACAUUACAGCACCAUGUGCAGAUUGGUGAAUGAAAGGGACAGAGAGAUUGAGAAACAAAGCUGGACACUAAAAAUUUGGUUGUUGUGAUAGAGAAGUUUGGUUGUUGCUUUGGCUUUGGAUAAGGGAAGCAUUCGAAGCUGGGAAGAGUUACUGUGGAAGGUUGAUGAAUUACAAGAAGGAUGGGACGCCCUUCUGAAACCUACUUACAAUUUCACCCAUCAAGGACGAAGACGGCAAAGUCAUCAAAUUCAUCGGUAUAAUUUUUUUAGACUGGUAAAGAUAAAAGGAGUUGACUAGUUGCUGUGGCACUGUGUAUAACAACUUCAUAUGGCAUCUCAAAAUGAAGGAACUAAGCACGUGCAAAGAAGGAGGACAACAAAGAUCCAUCACAAGCUGAGAUGUUUGUUGUAACUCGUACAAACAAAAAAGGAGAGACUCAUUCGGGAACACAAGAGACGAUUUAUCAUAUUCAAAAUUUGAAACAAGCAGGAUACAGUGAUGAUGAGGCAGUUCAAACAGUUUUCGGAAAGGAAAGACAUGGUAGAGUUUGUUUCUGUGGUCGAUCAGUCACAAAAUCCUAUCUUAAAAAGGAUAAGCAAAUCUGACAAAUGCAACAACAACAUACUGAAGUGGUUUCAACUAUGGAGAAAAAUAAAAAUAACUUAACUUCCAAGUUGGAUGGUUUAACAAACUUGAUUAAAACGUUGUUGCAACAAGUCAAUCCUGGUAUGAGUGCAGAACAAGUGCAAGUAAUGAUAGAAGCCACUCAACAAUCUCCGCCUGAUGCGAAUAGUGUACCAAAUAAUGCGCGGUGAAGCAUUUCUCCUUCACUUGGAUCGAACCAUGUAUUAAAGGAUUUCGAACAGGAAGACAUGAUGUGAAGAAAAUAUGUUCCAUACAAAUAUGACAUGGGAUGGGUCUUACACUUUAGUUAUCUAAAUGUAAUUUUUUGAUGUGUUCUGUACUUUUUGAAAAGAGACUUUACUCGGUAUUACAUGUAAUUGGACACAUUACACUCUAUUUUGAUUUCUGUUGUUUAGACUAAAAAUUAAACAUAUCUAGUUUAUAAUGAAAUCUUUUAUGAUUUACA